GUGAUGCGAUGGACCUGGUAGAAGGCAUGGGGCCGCAGCAGGCGAUCGUCUGCUGUCCCAAUGAACAGCUGGAUGGUGCAAGCCGAAUCGUUCCUUUCUUCCGUUACUUGAAUAACAUGGCUCAUAUGGAAAGCCGUCAGCUAUAUGCGGCAGACACGCUUUUCCUCUCUAUACUGGCUCUGUCUUUUUUCUCCCUGAAGGAAAAUCCUUUUCUCUUUUGACAUGGGGUUCUCCAGCCUUUUAAGGAAGUGAGGAUGAACAGGCCCCGAGAGAUAACAGCUUGAAUGAUGAUUCUCCCCGAACUACAAGCAGCUACCAUAGCUGCCAGAUUAUUAAUGAUAUCAUUCAUGCAUCCAAACAAGUAGCACAAUACCAAGGCAAGCCAAAAAACAGCUUAACAGUGAGCACACACCACUCAACUGAACCUCCGAGCGGAAUUAGACAUAAUAACAUUCUUUUUCUGCCACCAUGUAACCAUUACUUGUUAAUCGUCACUUAUGGAUACCAACCAUGUUAUCAGCCG